rnacentral:rRNA from 1 species
UACGGGGGGAGCAAGCGUUGUUCGGAUUUACUGGGCGUAAAGGGCGCGUAGGCGGCCACCGCAAGUCGACUGUGAAAUCUCCGAGCUUAACUCGGAAAGGUCAACUGAUACUGCGGGGCUAGAGUGCGGAAGGGGCAACUGGAAUUCUUGGUGUAGCGGUGAAAUGCGUAGAUAUCAAGAGGAACACCUGCGGCGAAGGCGGGUUGCUGGGCCGACACUGACGCUGAGGCGCGAAAGCUAGGGGAGCGAACGGG